AUUCUGUGUGCUUGUGAUUCUUAGAUUGUUACACUCCCCAAAGAAUCAAAGUUGCAUGUCAUAGACUUGGAGAACUAUAGAUGUAUGGAUGAGAGAUGCUGCAAAGGUAGAAACAACUGGCCUUGGCAGCGGAUUGGAUGUGGAGUGAGGAGAAAGAAGGAUGAGUCAAGGUUGACUCCUAGAUUGUGAGCCUCGAAGAUAUCAACAUUAAGAGGAGAAACAUAUCAUCAAAAAAGGAGAUAGUCCAAACAUGAAAUCCUCCAUGGAGUCUAUAUGGAAGAAGAGAGGAAAGGAGUACGUUGGAUGAGAAGAUGUGAUUGUAUUAUGCUUAGCACCAAAGGGAAUGGUUGCAUGGAUGAAAUUGUGGCCCCAUAAAACAUUAAGGUAGUAAGGUAAGAAUUGUUAGUUUAUUAUUACCAAUAACAACAGUAAGAAUAUAUGUCUCUCUUUUAGAAAUCAAGGACUGGAAGGAACUGAGAAUCAAAGUUGGAAUGAUGGAAGAGUUCAAGGUGUUUGAGACACACUGGGCUGGAGGAACGAAAGCUCUUCAUUAUAGCAUUUCUGCUUAUUGUUGUUGCAAUUUUGGGUGGUGGGAAGCAAGUCGCUCUUCUUCCAGGAUAAUUGAUUACUUUCUUACUUUGGAACAUCCCUGUAUAUAGCAGGUAACACAGAAUCAUCAAGUCACUGAGUGUCGGAACUGGAAGAGAUCAUCAGGUCAUAGCUCUAAACCUGAAAGUUGUCGUGAAAGUUGUCUAGUCAAAUGUCUGCCUUUUACAGGGGAGGAAACUGAGACCUAGAGAGGGGAAGCCACUUGUCCAAGUGGCCUACAGCAAGCAUCAGGACAUCAAAGGCAUUUGGAGUUAGCCCUAACCAGCCCUCAGAAUCUGAAAUGUAAGGACAACCUGGAUCCCUGCUGGCCUCUUGUGACUGUGCUAACAAUGACCUCAGGGUCUCUGUUGCCAUCUCCCUCCACCUCUCUUCAUCGCUCACCAUUGCCCUCCUCCCUACAUCUACUGUAUUUGUCUCAGGGCCCUUAUUCCCCGUCAUGCCUUCAACAACCACAGGUACCAGGAGGGCCUGACUCUAAGGCACUUUCUGCUAUGGAGCAUUCACUCUGCCUGAAUCCCUCCCAUUCAUAGAAAGGUUGAGUUGAGGUUCUAGAGCAAGGCUUCUUAAACUUUUUCUACUCACAACUCCUUUCCUCCAGAACAAGAUUUACGUGACCCUGGGUAUCUAGAUAAAUAAAGUAGGUAUACAAAUAAAACAUUUACUGAUAACAAAUCAUAAUUCCGUGACCCCCAUAUUCAGGUUCAAGAUCCCAUAUGGGGUCGUGAACCACAGUUUAAGAAGCUUUGCUUUAGACUACAUGUGGGGCAAGAAAGAAUAAUUUCCAUUUUAAGGGAUAUGAACAUGGUAGGAUAGACAGCUUCUAGUUCCCUGGUACCUAUUUCUAUUUCAUAUCCAGCUAAUCUAUGAAUAACUAAUGAGAGGUUUUUAUGUUCCCCUCCAUGCUUUUAUGGUCAUUUAACAGUUUUAAAUUUACUAGUUCCAUUCACCAACCACUUAAAUGUCUUAGAGUCCUAAUUUGUGAAAGGGACUUUGGAAGGAAGCUUAGAGGUCAUUCAUGUACUCCGGUGGCAUCAAGCUCAACUAUAAACGGGACCACUAAAGGGCACGUAAAGAUCUCUGCAGGCACAUAUUGUCUUAGGAAAUCACAUACUGACAUCAUCUAUGUUCUGUUGUACAAAGCAGAAUUGCAGUAGCUCAAAAGAAAUACGGGAUGCCCAGAGUUGGAGAAGCCCCGCCAAAUGUUCACAUGGACUAUUUGUGCCUGACCUGUGGCAGAGCAUUCCCAGCCCACCUCGGUCUGAUCAGUCACAUUCAGACGUACCAUACCUUGAUCCUAAGAGAGUGAUGUUAUUUUGGGCCUCUUUGACAAUGAAGGACAAUGUUCUGUUGAUAUUUUUAUUGUUGUUAUGUAUUUCCCAAUUACUUUUCCAUUUAGUUCAGUCUCCACUUGGGAUUGUUAUGGGCUACGACAUGGUCACUGUCUGCAUGUUAGAUGCUCCUGAUCUAGUUCAGCCCUUUUCUGUAAAAAGAAGAGAAUUGGAUCUCUAAAGCCCCCUACAACUCUAAUCUCGGGUCCCAUGAUCUUAGGGUCCCUCUUUUACAGAUGAGGAAACUGAGGCUCAGAGAAGUUAAAUGAGUUCCCCAAGGUCAAACAGGCAACAAAUGGAAGAACCAGGAUUCAACCCCAGGUCUUUUGACUCCAAAUUCAAUAUUCUUCCCACUGUGCCAUGAUACAAGAUGAACAUGAGUAUCUUUGUGUCUUUCAGACCUGUGAUUUCACCAGUGUGGAGAAUUUCCAGAUGAGGAAGCUCACUCUACCAAUGCAGGUCAGCACCUUCUCUGCAACUUAGAUUCUUAGAAAACUGCCUAGAGAAUUAAGAGGAAUGACUUUUCCAAGGUCACACAGCUAGGAUGUGUCAAAGAUGGAUCUUGAAUCCAAGUUUUUUCAAUUUUGAGACUGAGGUCUGUAGCCCCAGUCUAUGCCAUCAUGCCCCAUGUUUACUUGUCCUAGGCUUCUGCUCUUCCUGAAGAAGACUGUGGGAACCCCCCACCUGAUACAAAUGAUCUUGGAUGGGAAGGAUUGGUGGUGGAAGGAUGGGGAGGAGAAGGUACAAUAAAUAAUUAUAGUACAAGGAAAGUUGAGAAGGAAGAAAGCACUAAGUGGAAUGGAUUGAUCUUGGGGGUCACCUUCACUGACCCCCAUCUAAACUUCUGAUUUUGUAAAGGAAGUAACAACAGAUCAGAAUUAAUAUCAAAACAGGAACUGGAACCCACAAGAUCUCUUGCCUGGGUAUCUGUAGCCUAGAGAAGAGAAGACUCAGAGGACACAUGUGAUCUUGAUGUAUUCAUGUGGAAGAUUUGUUGUGAUUGGUCCCAGAAGGACAGAACCAGGGGCAACCAGUGGAGGGGGCAAAGAGUCCACUUUAGGUUCGAGGUCAAGGAGAACAAAAACCAUCCAGAUACUUAUACUGGUCCCCAUAUGAAAUGGGUUGCCCUGAGAGGUGAUGGGUUUGCCAACCUUGGAGGUCUCCGAGCAGAGCUGCACGACCACUUGAUUGCUAUGUGACGAUGGAGAUCCCUCUCAGGCAUGAGUUGGACUAGUUGGCUGCUGGUGUUCCUUCCACGGUUCGAUGAUACCAGUCCGGCAUUCUUUCAGCCUAGUUAAUUGAACAUGGCCUCUGUGAUAUGGUCAAGGCUCAUUCUGAGGCAUUCUGAACUGAGCACCAGCUCCUAUCUCAUGGCGCAAUUGGCGCAGCUGAAUGGGAAUAGAGCACCUUGGUCUCUCCCAGACAUACCGACCCCAAGAUCACUUGUAUCAGGUGGGGGGUUCCCAUAGUCUUCUUCAGGAAGAGCAGAAGCCUGAGACAAGUAAACAUGGGGCUAUCGACCUCAGACCCAGGUACUACGACUACUUUUCUUCCCUUUCCUGUUGGUCACUAAGGAAACUGGGCCGCCACAAUCAAUUGUAAGGGAAUAGACUUCAUGGGUUUUCAUUCAAAGUGGGGAUCCAGCCAGUAUGGAACAGGGGAAGGAUUCUCACCUGUGACUCAACCCUAAAUGCACCUCUAACUCGAACCUUAAAUGCACCUUCAACUCUAUCAUGUAUAAAAUGAUGGAGGUAGUCUAGAAUGAGCCAUAUGGUCUAACUAAAGGUUCUAAGCCUAGGAUAGUAUGACCUCUCCCACUUUCUAGGCCAGGCCCAAGCUCAGGGUACAGCAGAGCAAGGCUUUUGCCUUUCUACCCCUCACUAACAUGACCCCAUGAGAUGGAACCAGCUCUUACCAUCUUGCAACCACACUGCCCUACAGUAACUCCAUUUGACCACUGGUCUGCACUCUCACUUCUUCCUCAGAUGAUGAAAAGUCCUCUGAAUUUCCCACCUUGGGACAAAAUCCAGUCACCUGACUAGUUAUGGCUCUGUCUGAAACUCAAGGCUCAAGCUGGAACCCAGAGCAUCAGCACCUGUGGGCAUCUGUUUAUUCCAAGACACAUGGUUCUAGAUUGAAUGUGUUGUGUGUUAAUGCUUUGGGUUUCUUUUUGUUACUUUGGCCUUGAGGAAGUAAAAGUUUUCCCACCUUCAACCAGGCUCCAAAUCCUGAGCACCAAGGUGCCUUGGAUUCAGAGUUAAAGGAACUCAGUUCAAGUCCUCACUUUGUUCAAGAAGUUUGUUUCCUGACUUUGAAGGAAACACCUCCACGGGCCUUAGUUUCCUCCUCCAGAAAAGGACAGCAAGAGUACUUGCACUGUUUUUUCAGGGUUGUGAUGGGUAUUUUGGUUUCGUGGUUAUUCUUAAGAGAGAAAUUAGGGAAGGUGUGUGCUAAUUCCAAGCUAGGCUGGAGGCGUGGAACGAGCCCUCUUGGAGAAAGAAGCCAAAGCUUCCCAUCUGAACUCUCCCAUUAAUUUGGGGAAGUGGUUUUGUGAGUGACUCCUUUCACUGACCCAAUGGAGACUUGGGAAUGGAGUUAGGAAUAUCUUUCAUCAGGAUUCCCCUGGGGAAGCCCAUCCUUUCUUUUUGUCUAAAUCAUGAUAAUCCUGGGUACCUGCCCUGUCUGCUUCUUCAGAACACACUGGCUUAUGUGGCACAGAACCCUCCUCUUCCAGGUCUGAAACUAAUCCAAUGCCAACUGUUGGAAACCAAGGCCAAGGAGCCAUUGGCCAGAAGAGGAGGAGGGUUUCAGAAUCUUUCCAAGCCUAGACACCAGGGACUGGGAGGCUAACAGAUGCCCUCUUGGGCCCUACUGGGGCCAAAAUGCAAAUUGAGAUUCUUCUCUAAGCCGUGUCUCAGAAACCACCAGAGCCACUGGUCCAAUCAGUACAAAAUCCAGGUCGCUCCCUGCCCCCCACCACUGGAUUGACCGUUAGCUUGGGCAGUAACUCGCUGAUCAUCUGGCUGCUCAUCUGGCUGCUCAUGAUGUGUAGGGGCCAGGAGCAGAAUGGGGCUCUGCAGGAGAUGGGCCGGGAUGUGAGGAGUGCUGAGAAGGAACUUCGUGGCCUGGUAAGCACCAACACUUUAGUGCAAAUGGCAUUAUCCUAACCAGAGAGCCCCUGGCCAGGAUCUCUAUUAGAAGAAGGGAAAGAGGGAGGUUAGAAAUCAAUUGGCAAAGGACACAGGAAGGGGAGGCGAGGACUAAAAAACACACAUUUCCCCAACUUUCCAGUUUGGCCCAGGGCUGGGCAUCAGAACCUCCCAAGCCAGGAAGCCGGGUUGUCUUUCCAGCCUUCUUUUGGGACAGGUUUCUCUCCGGCCAUUCUCCAGGUAUCCCAAGAAGGGCACGUCGCCCUCCUCCGUCCUCCCACCAGGCAGGGGGGGAUUCAGCCCCUGCAGGAGAUGGAAAGAAUGAAGUGGAUCCCAAUUAGAAAAUGGAAUAUCAUUCCAUGUAAUUAAAUGGCUUUCUGGAAAUGGGUCUUUUUCUCUUCCUGUCUGGCAAUUUUGCUAAGUCUGUGCUCUCACUAACGAGGCUGACUCGCUUUUCUGCCUCCGGGCUGUCUGUAUACAAGAACGGGCUGCCAAGUAGAGACCUCAGGAAGCCUUGGGAGCCAGGGGGUAGAAGGAGCCAGCCUACUCUCUGCUACAGAGAAGAGCCCGGCCAGGAUUUGGCCUCUGCCUCUGUACCCCUCAAGUAUCACAGAAACAACUGGACUCAGCAAAUGGUUUGCAAGUCUAUGGGGAGGGCCUGGGUCUGUGAUUUCACUUGCUAUAAAGGACUACCAGGGGAGAAAACUCUCUCUACCAAAGCAGGUUGGGAAAUUCUCAGCAACUUGGAGAUCAGGGAGCUUCCUAGAUAUGAGUUCUACCAGAUGGGGUCUUCUUCUCACUGGUGACUCAUCCCUGCUUGGCCCCCGCCAUGUUCCCUCUCUCAGACAGUCUCCCUCUCCUGCCAUUCCGGUGUCUUCACCCAUGGGCUCAGAGGUCCCAGGGGCUGUUUCUCUUCCACAGUAUGUUACCUUGAAUUCAUGAGACCAUGUAUCCGUCCCUAAAAAACUGAAUUUGUUUAAAAACAAAACAGAACACCUGAAAUGAAGGCAUUGGUAGUCCUUGUGACCCAAAAUCGUUAGGUAUAGCUCUGCAGAGGAGACAAGUCAGAACAAACUUAGAUCAUGUGUCCCAAGGGGGUAUGUGAUUCCAAGCAUGGCAGGUGAUCAUUCUGGGAGGGGCAGGGGAACAGAGGGGCUUUCUUUGUCAAGUAACAGGGUCUGUUGAGCACUCAGACGCCAAUUGGAAAAAGAGGAAGCCCAACCCUGGGGGGAGGGAUUUCUCAACUGGUGAAAGCAAGACUUCUGGAUGCCAAAAUAGUAUCAAUGACUACUCACAUCACAAACCUAGAGCUGGAAGGAACAAAAGAGGCCACUGAGUCCAAGCUCCUUAUUUUAUAGUUGAGGGAACUGAGAACCAAAGAGAGGAAGUGAUUUGCCCGAGGUCCCACAGGUAAUAAGUAGUACAACGAGUCUCUUUGAGACAAAAAUGCACUUUAUAAAUUAUAGCAGUAAAUUAUGCUAAAAUACAUUUUCACAGUACUUUAUGGGGAAAAAAGCUAUAGGAUUUAGAGCUGUAUGUGAUUUUAGAGGUCAUCUCUUUUAUUAUAUAGAGGAGGAAACUGGGUUCCAGAGAUCUUAAGUCACUUGGGCAAGGUCACUCAGGCAGUGAAAUUGCAAUCCAAAUCCUCAUUCCAAAUCUCCUACUUUUGCCACAAGGCUACGCGGA